ACCUUGGACUUGUAAAACCAAAUUAUACAAUGUCCUAGAGUUCUGAGGUAAAUUAGGAUGUGUGUUAUGGGACAUUGUUGAGUUCAAGUGUGGGGGUAUCAUUGAAAAAGAGGCAUAUGUGACUGAGUUGAUGGUUGAAAUAGUUUAUGAAUCAUUGAAAAUUGAGAGAAAAAGCUGGAACAAAAUGAGAAAAUUCUGGUGAAAAAGAAAAAGUUGUAGUGGGUGUCAAUUUUCAUGCACAAGUGAUUUUGUGCUAUUUGGCAGUUUAAACAAGUCCUAAAUGUUGUUUUAAACUUGUUAGAACAUUCAAAUUGAAG
rnacentral:lncRNA from 1 species